CUGGAACGCGCUUCGGCGCACCCAGAAACCCUUUGUGAACUUAUACCUAUUUGUUGCCUCGGCGCAGGCCGGCUUCUUCACUGAGGCCCCCUGGAGACAGGGAGCAGCCCGCCGGCGGCCAACCAAACUCUUGUUUCUAUAGUGAAUCUCUGAGUAAAAAACAUAAAUGAAUCAAAACUUUCAACAACGGAUCUCUUGGUUCUGGCAUCGAUGAAGAACGCAGCGAAAUGCGAUAAGUAAUGUGAAUUGCAGAAUUCAGUGAAUCAUCGAAUCUUUGAACGCACAUUGCGCCCUCUGGUAUUCCGGAGGGCAUGCCUGUUCGAGCGUCAUUUCAACCCUCAAGCCUGGCUUGGUGAUGGGGCACUGCCUUCUAACGAGGGCAGGCCCUGAAAUCUAGUGGCGAGCUCGCUAGGACCCCGAGCGUAGUAGUUAUAUCUCGUUCUGGAAGGCCCUGGCGGUGCCCUGCCGUUAAACCCCCAACUUCUGAAAAUUUGACCUCG
rnacentral:rRNA from 1 species